AGAUGUGGAGCGCGUUCCUCGGCAUCCAGUUCAACGACGCCGACCUCCAAUGGCUGUGGGUGCGGCAGCUGCUCAGCCAUGCCAGGGGCCGAAUCACCCAGGAGGAGCCACAGCGGCAGCUCGACGUGUUCCUCCGCGCAGGGCGGAAGGGCGCGACACUCCACCCGGUGCUCUACGACUGCCUGGAGAGUGCCGCUCUGGACGCCGUGUGGUCCAUCUGCCAGAACGAGGAGGAGCUGGCGGAGAAGGAGCUUCAGAAAUGCAGCGAGGUGCUGUCGCGCAUCCUGGUGGAGGCCUGGCCGAGGAGGGAUGGUCAAGCGACCACGGAGCACGAGGAAGUCGUCCUGCACCUGCUUGGCUGGAGGCUUUCGGCACGCUUGCUCGGACU